rnacentral:rRNA from 1 species
CCCUUAGAUGUCCUGGGCCGCACGCGCGCUACACUGAACGGAUCAGCGCGUUUUCCCUUCCCGAGAGGGACGGGUAACCUGCUGAACCCCGUUCGUGGUAGGGAUCGGGGCUUGCAAUUAUUCCCCGUGAACCAGGAAUGCCCAGUAAGUGCAAGUCAUAAGCUUGCGUUGAUUACGUCCCUGCCCUUCGUACACACCGCCCGUCGCUACUACCGAUUGAACGUUUUAGUGAGGUACUCGGACUGAGCCUCAGAAGAUUCACGUCUUUUGUGCUGCUCGGGAAGAUUCCCAAACUUGAGCGUUUAGAGGAAGUAAAAGUCGUAACA